UACGUAGGGGGCAAGCGUUGUCCGGAUUUAUUGGGCGUAAAGGGCGCGUAGGCGGUCAGCACAAGUCAGUUGUGAAAUCUCCGGGCUUAACUCCGAAACUGCAUUUGAUACUGGCGUGCUUGAGGACUGGAGAGGAGACUGGAAUUCAUGGUGUAGCAGUGAAAUGCGUAGAGAUCAUGAGGAAGACCAGUGGCGAAGGCGGGUCUCUGGACAGUUCCUGACACUGAGGCACGAAGGCCAGGGGAGCAAACGGG
rnacentral:rRNA from 1 species